GUCAAAAUGAAUUACAGGGGUUUAAAGAGAAUUUCUGUACUAUAUCUAUAAAAGAUGAAGAGUAUUUCCUGUUGCCUGUUGAGUUAGAAUUUAGCAAACCCAACAAUGGCAGCUCUGAUUGUGUUAAGAUGCCAUCAUACUUAGAACUAAAGGAGAUGUUAAAUUUAGCUCCAGUCACUGUAGAUGAUGAAGAUCUUUGCAAACAGGUGAUCGGAGAAGAUCUCAAAGCAGAAAUUACAUACAAAAUAGAAAUUUCCAAGUACUGUGCCAUUCCACAAGAUGUUUGCUCCAGUAUUAGCACAAGUAUGUUGGAAUUCUG
rnacentral:lncRNA from 12 species